UACAGAGGUCUCAAGCGUUGUUCGGAUUCAUUGGGCGUAAAGGGCGCGUAGGCGGCGGGGUAAGUCUGGUGUGAAAUCUCGGAGCUCAACUCCGAAAUUGCACUGGAUACUGCUCUGCUAGAGGGCUGGAGAGGAGAUCGGAAUUCACGGUGUAGCAGUGAAAUGCGUAGAUAUCGUGAGGAAGACAGUGGCGAAGGCGGAUCUCUGGACAGCUCCUGACGCUGAGGCGCGAAGGCUAGGGGAGCAAACGGG
rnacentral:rRNA from 1 species